rnacentral:lncRNA from 1 species
CCACUCCUCAUUUUCUUGCAUUUUACCCAUGCCACACUUGCGAUUAAACUUGAUUACUGCCUGCUUUUCUUUCACGGAUAAUUCCUCCUGUCAAUAUAUUUUUCUGCCCCUGGUUCAAUCACCGAAAAUUUCUUAGUUAAAAAUUGUGGUUAGUUGAUUCAUGACAAACAAUUUUUCUGCCCCUGUUUCAAUCACCGAAAAUUUGUUAGUUAAAAAUGGUGGUUAGUUGAUGGCAUUCUUGCAGCGUCAUCCUUCCAUUGCUUUGCUUUGUGCUGCCUGACUUCCACAUUUAUGACUUUCACAUUCCCCAUUUCUGACAACCUGAAUGCUUUUGUGCUCCCCCUGUUAUUUCACCUUUCCGUCUCUUUUGCCUGGACCUUCACAUUUCCUACAACAUUUCCCAAAUAUUCUACCGAUUAAACUGUCGGCGACUUCCCCUAUUUCACUUUAUGUCACAUUGUUGCUGACAUGCUCUGGCCACAUUAUGCUUUACCAUUUUCGGAAGCUGGUAGCGGGCUUUGAAAUCCUUUUCCCCUUUUCAUUGAGCAAAACUGGCAUUGGAACAUUUUAGAUAAACAAACCCCCAAAAGAGAAUGAAAUGUAAUAAUUUUCUAAGUUAAGGAUAAGAAGAAUCCAAAACCAGAUGACUGUUAAAAAGGAAAGAGAAAAGAAACUUAUCUGACCGGAAAAGCUGGAACCAAUGAUCACGACAUGCAUUUCGGACUAACCAGCCCAACCGAUCCAACUAACCAGCUCUCAGUUGCCAUACUUCAUUGCCCAGAACUUCCAUCAGUUGAUUACUUUAUCCAAACCUUAACCUCAUUUAACCUGUGGUGCCACGAAACAGUUUUCACCAACAAACUUUCUCAGCUUGCCAUUUCUCAUCUCACUUUCGCCUUAAGGUGCCCGUGAGGGUUUCACCACUAAGACUCUCUCAUUUCAUUUUCUCUCAGCCCCCGUUGCCUUACGGUGCCCGUGAGGGUUUUCACCAAUAAGACUCUCUCAUUUUUAUUUUUCAUGCUUCUUGUUUGCACCAGAGUGUUACCCCCUGUGGCGAAUUACCUUUUCCUGCCUGACUUGGCAUUUCUCAAAAAUUUAUCAGAAGGUCUUUCUUUGGACCAUAAUGUAGGCUUUCGGAUGGGUUAGAAAGAAUGGUAUAAAAGGCUCAAAAUAAUUUCUAAAUGGGUUAAAACUACAACUUCCGGAAUCCAAUUUCUCACAACGAACCACAACUUCUGCCCCAGUUUUUUUCUUGGGGACUUUUGAUAUUUUAUUUUGGUAUGACUGAACCUCGGAAUAAGGGUGUCUAUGUACCCUUUCAGGAUCAAGUCAAAUGUAGUUCACUUUAUCGUAAUUACUUUUGUUGUGAUCCUUUCUUUUCUCUUUUGUUUUCUUUUCUUUUCUUUUUGUCUUUUCAUUUUUCUUUUCUCUUCUUUUCUUUUUCUUCUUUUCUUUUCUUUCCUUUUCUUGUUUCAUCUUUUCUUUUUCUUCCUUUAUUUUCUUCUCUUUUUCCUUUCUUUUCUUCCAUUUAUCUUUAUGUGGCACCUGCAUUUUUUAUCGUGCCGUUGAUUCCGAAAGAGGGGUAUGAACGAAAAUAAGUAAGGCCCAAAGGGGAUGACAAGGGAUAAAAGUUUUUGGAUAGCAGAAUGAAAUGCCUUCUUCAUUUCAAUCUUUAAAAUCUACCAAAUACAAGAAAGUACAUUCCGAAUAAAGAAAUCAUACAUAAUAUCUCUUGACCGAAUCAAAAUUGAUGGCCAUUUAUACACAUUUUCCUCUACAUCUGUCAAAUAUAGUGCGCCAUUAGACAAUACUCUGGUUACUACAAAUGUCCCUUGCCAGUUCGGGGCGAACUUUCCUUUUGCUUCGGCCCAAUGGGGCAAAAUACGCUUAGCACCAACUGUCUGACCUCGAACUUCCUCGGACGUACUUUCUUGUUGUAUGCUCCUGCCAUCCUUCACUGGUACAAUUGACCAUGGCACACUGAUGCCAACCUUUUCUCAUCAAUCAAACUCAAUUGUUCCAGACGGGUCUUUACCCAUUCAUCAUCGUCGAUUUCAGCCUCCGCAAUGAUUUGAAGUGACGGGAUUGCCACUUCUGCGGGUAUUACUGCCUCGGUGCCAUACACCAAUUAAUAAGGAGUCUCUCCCACGGAAGUACGAAUGGUGGUGCGAUAUCCGAACAAUGCAAAAUGCAACUUCUCAUGCCACUGUCUAGACCCUUCAACUAUUUUCCGCAGUAUUUUCUUUAUGUUCUUGUUGGCCGCUUCAACCGCUCCAUUUGCUUUAGGGCGGUACGAAGUAGAAUGACGAUGAGUAAUCUUUAAUACUUACAUGUUUCCUUCAUCAAAUGACUAUUGAGAUUAGCCCCAUUGUCCCUGAUAAUCACCUUUGGUAUACCAAACCGACAAAUAAUGUCCGCAUGCACAAAAUCCACCACGACUUUCUUAGUCACAGACUUGAACGUCUUCGCUUCCACCCAUUUGGUAAAGUAGUCUAUUGCUACCAGAAUAAACCUAUGCCCAUUUGAUGCCGCUGGACCAAUCGGUCCAAUAACAUCCAUGCCCCAAGCAACAAAAGGCCAUGGUGCUGACAUCGUAUGCAAUUCUGAUGGUGUAGAAUGAAUCAAAUCUCCAUGCACUUGGCGUUGAUGACCUUUGCGUACAAAACUGAUACAAUCCCACUCCAUAGUAAGCCAAUAAUACCCGUAAGAUCUUCUUUGCCAAAACAUAUCCGCUCAUGUGCGGUCCAUAGACUCCAGAAUGUACCUCAGUCAUGAUAGACGUGGCUUGCCUUGCAUCCAUGCACCACAACAGUCCGAGAUCUGGUGUUCUUUUGUAUAAUACUCCUCCACUCAGGAAAAAACCGCUUGCCAUUCGACGAAUAGUUCUUUUCUGAUCUCCGGUGGCCUGUGCCGGAUAUACUCCCAUCCUAAUAUAUUCCAUUAUGUCAUGAAACCACGGCUUACCGUCAAGCUCCUCUUCUAUCAUAUUACAAUAAGCAUUCUGAUCAUAGACAUGAAUCUUCAAUGGGUCUAAGGCUUGUGUGGAUGAUGUAACAUUGAUGCCAAAGUAGCCAAAGUGUCGGCAACCUCAUUAUGAACCCUCGGGAUGUGCCUGAACUCUAUUGACUGAAACCGUUGACAAAGCUCAUUUAGACACUGUCAGUAUGGUAUCAAUUUCAAAUUCUGUGUUUCCCAUUCUCCUUGAAUUUGGUGUACCAGUAGGUCCGAAUCACCCAUGACCAAGACUUCCGGGACACCCAUAUCUAGAGCCAAUCUCAUCCUCAGAAUACAUGCUUCAUAAGCCAUGUUGUUCGUACAAUAGAAACGAAGCUGAGCCGUAACAGGAUAGUGCUGACUUGUUUUAGAAAUAAGUACGGCUGCUAUUCCCACACCUUUCAUAUUUUUCGCUCCAUCAAAGAACAGUUUCUAUCCUGGUUUCUCUACCUGCUCCAACUCAUCAAUAUGCAUUACCUCCUCAUAAGGGAAGUAAGUUUUCAAAGGCUCAUAAUCGUCAUCAACUGGAUUCUUAGCCAAGUGAUCAGCUAAAGCCUACGCUUUCAUUGCAGUCCGCGUCACAUAGAUAAUAUAAAACUCUGUAAGCAAAAUCUUCCACUUUGCAAUCCUUCCUGUGGGCAUAGACUUCUAGAAAAUGUACUUCAGUGGAUCUAACUGAAUAUUAGGUAAGUAGUGUAGGACGACAAAUAAUGUUUCAAUUUCUACACCACCCAAGUUAGGGCGCAACACGUCCUCUCCAGAUGAGUGUACUUAACCUAGUAAGAUGUGAACUUCUUGCUGAGAUAGUAUAUUGCCUGCUCCUUCGUGCCAUAACAUCAUGUUGCCCUAGUACGCAGCCAAACAAAUUAUCCAAGACCGUCAGAUACAGAAUCAAAGGCCUCCCUGGUUCUGGCGAAACCAACACGGGUGGAUUCGACAAAUAUCCCUUUAUCUUAUCGAAAGCUUUCUGACAUUCAUCCGUCCAUUUAAGUGCAACAUCUUUCUUUAGUAGUUUGAAAAUGGGUUCACAAGUAGUUGUGAGCUGAGCAAUGAACCUGCUAAUGUAAUUCAAUGCAAUUUGAAAAUGGUUUCACAAGUAGUUGUUAGCUGAGGAAUGAACCAGCUAAUGUAAUUCAAUCUUCCUAACAAACUCAUCACAUCGGUUUUGUUUCUCGGAGGCGGAAAUUCCUGAAUAGCCUUAAUCUUUGAUGGAUCCAAUUCAAUACCCCGGCGACUGACUACAAACCCUAGCUACUUUCCAGAUGGCACCCCGAAAGCACACUUUGCAGGAUUGAGCUUGAGAUUAUACCUGCGUAGCCUUUGAAAGAAUUUCCUCAAAUCCCUGACAUGGUCGGACUGCUUCCCUGAUUUCACAAUCACAUCAUCUACGUAUACCUCAAUCUCUUUAUGUAUCAUAUCAUGGAAGAUCAUUGUCAUUGCCCUCAUGUAGGUUUCCCUAGCAUUUUUCAAAUCGAAUGACAUGACCCGAUAGCAAUAUGUUCCCCACUGUGUGAUGAAUGUCGUCUUUUCUACGUCUUCCUCGUCCAUUAAGAUCCGAUGAUAACCCGCAUAGCAAUCCACAAAACAACCAAUCUCAUGUUUGGCACAAUUGUCGAUCAAUAUGUAGAUUUUUGGUAAUGGAAAAUUGUCUUUUAGACUUGCCUUUUUGAGAUCUCGAUAAUCAAUGCACACCCUCGUUUUGCUAUCUUUCUUUGGUACAGGCACAACAUUAACUAACCAGGUGGGAUACCGUGCGACCCGAAUGACCUUUGCAUCAAACUGCUUGGUGAUCUCUUCUUUAAUCUUCACACUUAUGUCUGUUUUGAACUUUCUCAGUUUCUGCUUAACAGGUGGGAGUGAUGGAUCUGUAGGCAAUUUGUGGGCCACCAAAUCAGUACUCAGUCCUAGCAUAUCAUCAUAGGACCUAGCAAAAACGUCCAUUUUCUUCCUUGAGCUGCGGCUCCAGAUGAACACUUAUUUUAAUUUCACGGAUAUUAUCUUGGUCCCCUAGGUUAAUUGCUUCUGUGUCAUUUAAGUUUGGUUUAGGUUUUUUCUCGAAGUGUUUUAAUUCCUUGCUAAUUUCCUUAUAUGAUUCAUCAUCACAUUCAAUUUCUUGAUUAUUUCUGAGUUAGGUUGUCUUAUAAAACUGGGCCGAGAAGUCCUCAUGCAUGUCAUGUCAUUGAUAUCAGCAUAAAAAUAACUGUACAGAAAAGGAAAGAAAAAUGGAAACAAAAUUAGGAAAGAAGAUGGAAAGAAAAUUGCAUUUCAUUAAAAUGUAAAGAUAACAGGGCUUAGCUCAUCCAAAUGGACGGAACACAGUCACAAGGAUUACAAACCCUGGAAUAAUCCAGGUGAAAAUUAAAAAAAAUAGUCCCACUACCGCGGCUCCCUCCAAAGUGGCAGAGGAGUGGCGUCCCAAUUAUUGAUCCUAGCAUGUGGCCCAAUGUGUUGAAUGUCUGCAUUACUGGAACCUUCACCAGCCUCAACCAUGCUUACUUCUGCAAAUACUCUCUCAAACACUUCGUCCAAAUUCCCCACUGCACCAAUCAAUGAACCCAUCUCCUGUGUUGCUAACUGCUUUUGGCCCUCGACCUAAAGAAGGACUUGGACAGAUGUGGAAUUGGUUUUGGAAGAACCCAAGCUUUCUUUUCCAACUUACGAGUCCUUCUGAUAUCUGAUGUUGUUGGCUUGAACCCCAACCCGAAGGUGUCUAAAUUCUUAGGCAAGGAAACGGGUUGAACAAUGCCCUGAAGCUUGGCACCCAGACCUUUUCCUGGCACAAACCCAUUACCCAUCAUUUCUAAAAUCACCAUGACGGUUGCAGCAGUAACCCGGGGAAGUGGAGUGCUUUUACCCUCUGGAACCUUGUUCACAGUAAUCGUGUCAAAAAGUUGAUAAACCCAUGCCCCCUUAUCGUCAUCAGUUUCUAUAAAGGGCACAAUAGCAUCACCUUCAACGCUUUUGGGGUCUUCUCCAUGUAGCACCACCUCUUGCCUAUCAUUCAAAUUUGACCAUUUGAUGCAGUGAGGAGGGCACUGCUUUAGCCGCAUGGAUCUAUGGCCGCCCCAACAAAAGAUUGUAUGAUACCGCAGCAUCCAACACCUGGAACUCCAUAGUAAACUCAACUGGGCCGAUGGUCAACUCGAGUAUGAUGUCCCCCACCGUGUCUGUUCCACCUCUGUCAAACCCUCGGACACAUACACUGUUCUUGCGGAUUCUAUCAUUAUCGAUCUUUAGCUUGUUUAGUGUAGACAUCGGGCAAAUAUUUGCACUAGACCCGUUAUCUAUCAAUGCCCUGGUCACCACUGAAUCUUCACAUUUGACUAUCAAGUAAAGGCUUUGUUAUGCUCUAUUCGUUCCACAGGCAACUCAUCAUCCGAAAACGUUAUCAUAUUUACCUCAAAGACCUUAUUAGUAAUUGUCUCCAAGUGGUUCACUGAAAUCUUAUUAGGCACAUGGGCUUCAUUUAAUAUCUUCAUCAAAGCUCGGCGAUGUUCAUCAGAGUGGAUCAACAAUGACAACAGCAAAAUCUGGGUCGGUGUUUUUCUCAGCUACUUGACAAUAGAAUAAUCAUGUACCUUCUUUUGGACUUGCCUUGUUGACAACAACGAGAUGUGGGCCGGUGUUUUUCUCAGUUUCUCGACAAUGGAAUAGUCCUAUACCUUCAUCUUUCUUAGAAACUCCUCCACUUCCUCCUCUGUAAAGGCCUUCUUGACCAGUAUUGGACUGUCUUUAGUAGCCCUAGCCUUUCUCAACUCUUCGGAAGCGAAGCAACGGCCCGAUUGAGUCAACCUUGCUCCUCACAACUCUCUUCCUCAAUUUCUUUCCCCUUGUAUGUUCCUAUCACCUUCUCAUAUUUCCAUGGCACGGCUUUGAUAUCAACCACGGGUAACUGGACUACCGGCUUGAUGAUCAAUGGCUCUAUGUAAGCACCUUUCACAACAACCACGGGCGCAGAUGAUGCCCCUGAUACCACCAACUUGACUGGUUCCGAUUUCUUUGCAACAACGGAUAAUUCUUUCCCCAUCACUACCACUGGCUUGUCACUUGUACCUUUCAACUUCACCCCUGCUUUUCCUCCAAUCGGCUUCUCUUUUGAACUGGUCUCAAUAGCACGAAUCAUCAUCACAGUUUGUGAGGGUUUCUUCGCCUCUCCAUCCUUGUGCACCAACUCAAUCAUGGUAGUCUCGUGAUGCGCUGGCAGCGGGUUUUGAUUGAUGUUUGGCACCUCCGAGGCCUGUACUUCAAUACGGAGGUUGUCAAUAAGCUCCAGUACCACACUCUUCAACUUCCAACAUUUUUCAGUUUCAUGCCCCGGCAUUCCCGAGUAAUACUCAUAGCUAACGGACUGGUCCAGGUUUCUGGGAGGUGGGUUUGGUACUUUGGGCUCGAUUGGGGUUAACAUUUCCAACUGCUUUAGUCUGUGGAAUAACUCGGUGUAAGAUUCUCCCAAUGGGGUAAAAGUUCUUCUAUUUGGGGCCCUCUCAUUCCGAAAAGUUUGGUUCGUGCGAAAGCCGGAUCCUGGGCUAUUAGCCCUGGGGUGUGUAUGGGUGUUUUGUGGAGGUGUAUAUGUGUUUUGGGGACCGGUGCACGCCAUUGCGUGUGUGCCGGAGGAUGAGUGUAUGUCUGGGCAUGGUGGAUAGAGAAGUGUGGUUGUGGUGGUGGGUAGUAAUGUUGUGGUGGGCCGUAUGGGGAAUAUGGGUAAUUUGGGUGGUAGGGUCUGGGUUGGUUAUAGUAGGGUGGAGGAUUGCUGAUCAUGGACCAGGAGCUAGCUUCCGCUGUGGCCACUUCUUCUUUUUUCUUCUUUCCCAGCACACAACCAGUACCGCUUUAUAUGGCCUGCGUGGUUGCUUUCAGUGCUGAAUAACUCAAGAUUUUGUUAGACAUUAAACCCUCUUAAAUCAUGGCACCCAUCUUCACUACUUCAUUAAAUGAUUUACCCACGGACGUUACAAGAUGACCGAAGUAUGUCGGCUCUAACUUUUGCAGAAAGUAUACCAUCUCAUUUUCCCUCAUUGGGGGAUCCACUCUGGCUGCUUGUUACCUCCAUCGGAGACCAAAUUCUCUGAAGCUUUCUCCUAGCUUCUUCUCAAAUUUCAACAAUGAUAGACGAUCAGGGACUAUCUCGAGGUUAUAUUGAAUUGGCCAAUGAACGACUGUGCAAAAUCAUCCCAUGUAUACCAUCGGCUAGGGUCCUGUCUUGUGUACCACUCCAAUGCAGACCCGCUCAGACUUUGAUCGAAGUAGGCUAUCAGUAAUUCUUCUCUUCCCCCAGCACCUCUCAUCUUACUGCAGAAUCCUUGGAGGUGGGACACCGGGUCGUUGUGUCCCUCGUACAGGUCAAAUUUAGGCUGCCCGAAGUAGGCUAUGAAUAAUUCAUCUUUUUCCCCAGCACCUCUUAUCUUACUGCAGAAUCCUCGAAGGUGGGCCACCGGGUCGCCGUGUCCCUCGUACAGGUCAAAUUUAGGCACCUUGAACCCUGUGGGCAGCUGGACGUCAGGGAAAGGGCACAAAUCUUUAUAGGCAACAUUGACUUGGUUGCCCAACUCGUGCAUGUUCAUGAAGGAUUGCUCUAGGCUUUUGAACUUUCUAAUCACUUCCUCAUGCUCAACAUUCUUACCUGGUUUAACCACUACCUCUGGGAUCUCAAAGUGAGGGGUAUAUGAGUACGGCUCAGUAGGCUUAAAGGUGGGUUCAAGCUGGUAAUAUUGGGCAUCAUGGGCUUGGAAUAGUGGUUCACUAGAGGACAUUUGUAAUGGAGCUGGAGGAGGAGCCACAAAGAUUGGAGCCACGGGUGGAGGAGGAUUUUGUUUGGGUGGUGGAGCCGGUGGAGCAUAUGAAGUAGUGGCAUACCCUUGGGUGUUAUAUUGGAAGGGUGGAGAUGUUUUGGGAGUGGGAGGUUCCUGAGCUUGCACUAGGUGCGGGAUAUAAGAAGGGUCGGGGUAUAAUGGUGUUGGGUGGCCCUGAGACCAAGCCCUGUGCAUGGCAUCCAUUUGGGCUUUCAACUUCUUCAUCUCUUCUUAUGGCAUACCCUUGGGUAUUAUACUGGAAUGGUGGAGAUGUUUCGGGAGUGGGAGGCUCCUGAGCCUGCACUAGGUGCGGGAUAUAAGAGGGGUUGGCGGGGUAUAAUGGUGUUGGGUGCCCUUGAGACCAAGCCUGGUGCAUGGCAUCCAUUUGGGCUUUCAACUUCUUCAUCUCUUCUUUCAUAGCCCCCACAUCGGUCACCUCGAACUCUUUCGUGGGGUCCACAAUACUAGUAUCUGAAUCUUGUCCAGUUCUUUCUUUAUCCUUCAACCGGGUGUUGUAUUGGUGAGUUGCCAGAAUUGCCAAUCAACUAACCACCAGGUUGUACUCACACAUUUCCCUGAGACCAAGCCCGGUGCAUGGAAUCCAUUUGGGCUAUCAACUUCUUCAUCUCUUCUUUCAUAGCCCCCCACAUCGAUCACCUCGACCUCUUUCGUGGGGUCCACAAUACUAGUAUCUGAAUCAUGUUCAGUCAUUUCUUUAUCUUUCGACCGGGUGUUGUACUGGUGAGUUACCAGAAUUGCCAAUCAACUAACCACCUUUCUGUACUCACACACUUAAAACAACCACUUCGUUAGCGAUUAGGCUUUAACAGAAUUGAUAACCGCAUGUUGGCAUGAAUGCACCUAAAUUGAUAGUGGUUUUGGAUGGCGCAUUUCAAUUAAUCAAAAGCCCAAACCAUUAUGUGGCUUUAUUUGAAACCUACACGAAAUGGGCCUGCUUUAUGCCAAGGCCCAAAGGAUAAAAUUCAGUCGAAAACAAAGGCUUCGCAUCGCCCCAAGUUGGACAGGCAAUUAUGCACGAACUGGAUUUCUACAAAAACGAAUUACAUUUUUAAUUUGUUCAUAAGACAUGAAAUGCUCACACUCGAAGGAUACCAGAACAAACGUCUGAUUUUCAGAUAAGGUGGAGAGAAAAUCAACACUGAAGCUGUGUAACAUGCAUAAACUAUGUCCCAAUUUCGUGCAAACUAGAGUACAAAUGAAUGAAGUGAAAUAUGAAAUACAAUCACAAACUUGACACACUGGAAUAACGCUCAAAUGAAUCCAAAAUCAGUGACAAGCAAAUGAAUCCAAUUUAUCCGAGUAGGUCCAAAUAUAUAUAUGACCCUCAAAUCCAUUUUCGAGUUCCAAUCUCAUUCUCAAUCUUAACAUCCUUUAACAAACAAACUCUCAGCAAAUGCAAUACCAAAACUCAUGAAAAAUAACAGAUGAACAUCAUCUAUUCAACUGAAGCUGGCAGUUUUGCCUAUCUGAGGAUUAAAAAGCUAGACAUGAGAACAUGAGCUUAUCAUUGUAAAAUGAUGCCUUCAGCGUAUGAAUUGGUAGACGCACGCUUCAUUUGUAAAAAAACAGUUGUAACCAAACUAAAGCAGGGGAAAAGGAGACUAUUAAGUUAUUCAUGUCGAACUUCUCGAAACAAAAUAGUGGUUGCAUUCAUAGUCGUGCAAAUAGGCUGUCUGGACAGUGCAAAUAGGGCGGCUGACUCGAUUCAUCAAAGUUCAGAAUGACUACUUAGAUUCGAGUCCCUAACAGUCUCUAUCAAUUAGUCUACACUCGAUGACAAUCCAAAAAUUUUGGUGCAUAGGUAAACUCAUACUUUCAACCAGAAGAACAUGCAGAUAAGGUUACAAAAUUGAAGGAAAGACAAAACUAAACAACUCUUUGAAUUCUAAUUUUAAUAGAACAAAAUCUGACGACCAAAAAGAGUUCACAGAACAAGUCAUUUAGUGUUCGAAAAGCACGCAUAACGAGAAGUAACAUUAUACCUUCAUGCUUGCUUGUGAUUUUUAAAACUGAACUCAUCAUUCAUUUGCAAGCGACGAUAUCUUGAUUCAAAAAUGAUAAUUUGACCCUAAAAUAAUAGUUAAACCAUAUAAGCACAGAAAACAACCACUCAAAAUUAACUUCUACUAGCUGAUAAUACUAAAAUACAUCACGCCAUCGCGAACAAAUUUAAUCAUCAAGAAGUUCGAUCAAAAAACAAACAAACCACCCUAGAUUGAAUCUCAUAGCUCAAAAUACAAUGAAAUAAAACAGAAUCGCAAGAAAAGAGAGAUGAAAUCUGAACCUGAAAUUUCGAACUUCUUUUGAUAACAAAAUCGAAGGCGAUUACAUAGUUUUGACUCAAAACUUUCAACAGUAAAACAACAGCAGGUCAAGGUUCGUAGCACAGCCAAACCAGUAGCAAAUACGAGCAGCAAUCGGAAGUUUAGACGGCGACGAACUCAGCAGCUUUCAAUCGAACUCCAUUUUGAGAACAAAAAUCAAACCAAAUAUUGAAAUCUUUUGGUGAUUUUCUAAUUUCUUCUGAAUUGAAACUCGAAUAAAAAUCAAACCGAAACUUUUUUUGUAAAUUUUUUUUUUGAAAAUGCAGUACCAGAUAGAAGUGAAGGAAAGCAAAGAACCAUAGAACCCUUUUUACCUCUCCCAAUUUUUCAGCCCCCUCACGAAAAUAGAUAAAUCUAUUUUGAAGACCAAUCCUUGAUGAAUGUGGCGCUCAGAUUGAGUGUAAUCACUCCAACGCCUCACACUCAUCUAGAAUUCCUCUUCCAGACCCUUCCAACCACGUGUUUAAACUCGAAUUCGAGCGAGUGGGAGGAGGAAUCUUGGCAUCAGAAACCAUUAGCAACAGCAAGAGAAGAUAUAUAAGGAUGUGUGGGUUAGGGCUUGAUUCUCACUCGCGUGAAUUUUGGCGAUUUUUGGGACGAAAUUAGGGGGCUGGGCUCGCUAGAGAACAAAAACAGUAUGCGUUUGAUUAGGGGUUUGGCUCAUCCGUUAUGUUUGUGUUUAAUCGUGGGGCGAG